rnacentral:rRNA from 1 species
AUGGUUAAUCUACUGGCGUUUCUGCUGCUGCUGUCUUAUGGAGCUGGCAGUAUCCAUUGCUCAGCGGUCAGUCACGGAAACAGAACAGACGUGCACUCGUUGCUCGAGUUCAAAGCAGCUACCAACGACCCAACAGGUGCCCUGAGAUCCUGGGACAGAAGCGUCCACUACUGCAACUGGACGGGCGUAGUUUGCAGCUCACUGAAACCAGGGCGCGUCGCCGCUCUGAUACUCCCUGGCCAAAGCUUGUCAGGCGAGAUCACCCCCUCACUUGGGAACUUAACGUACCUUAAAAUCAUCAAUUUGUCCUUCAAUGGCUUCUCCGGCCAGUUACCUCCUCUGAACCAGCUCCGCGAGCUGAUCAGCCUUGACCUCAGCUCCAAUUCAUUCCAGGGGAUAAUUCCCGACUCACUCACAAAUUGUUCAAACCUAAAGACUAUUGAUCUUUCUAGAAACAUGCUAGAAGGACCAAUUCCCACCAAAAUUGGUUCGCUCUACAAUCUACUUGGUAUGGAUCUUUCCAGGAAUAAUCUCACCGGGGUCAUACCGCCGAGCAUUGGCAACGCCACCCACCUUCAAACGCUCAUUCUUCAAGAAAAUGAACUUGGGGGGAGCAUUCCUGAUGUGUUUGGGCAAUGGUCCGACAUGAUCGGCUUUACAGUAGGUGAAAAUAGGCUCUCAGGUCGAAUACCACCAUCAAUCUUUAAUUUGACUUCUCUACAGUCACUAGGCCUGUAUGCAAAUAAGCUACAGGGGGAAUUGCCGCUUGAUAUUGGUGCCCCCCUCCCUGAAAUUAUUGUUUUUACGCUGGGCCAGAACAUGCUUGAAGGUCACAUCCCAGCUUCGCUAGGCAACGCUUCAGGGCUAGAACUGAUAGAUUUAUCAUCUAACAGUUUCGUUGGAGAAAUUCCUACUUUUGGAAAGCUACUAAACCUUGAGUACUUAAACCUUGGGCAUAGUAUACUUGAAUCAAGUGAAAGCCAAAGAUGGGAAUCCUUGUAUGGACUAACAAACUGUAGUAAUCUGUUUAUGCUGUCAUUAGAUAAUAAUCAGCUGCUAGGAGCCAUACCGGAUUUGGUCGGUAAGUUGUCCACUCACCUUACAAGUCUACACCUGAGUGGAAACAACCUAUCAAGAAUUGUUCCUUCAAGCCUAGCAAACCUGACUAGCAUAAUCGAUUUGGAUCUUAGCAACAACAGUUUAACUGGUACAAUUGAAGGAUGGUUGGGGAGUCUCAAAAACUUACAAUCUUUAGAUCUUCAUGGAAAUAAUUUCGUCGGGUUCAUCCCACCAUCUUUUGGGAACCUUUCAGAACUAACUAUACUUUCUUUAGCACAAAAUGAAUUUAAAGGUCACAUACCUUCCACAUUGGGAAAACUUUCACAACUUUCAAGGCUGGACUUUAGCUAUAAUAAUCUACUUUCGGGAAAAAUUCCCGAUGAUCUGGGCAAGUGUCAGGGCCUCGUAACCAUCCAAAUGGACCACAAUAAUCUCACAGGUGUCAUUCCAACCUCUUUGGGCAACCUUUUGAGCUUGGAGAUGCUCAACCUGUCCUAUAAUGAUUUAUCAGGUGUCAUCCCAACAGUUCUAAGUGACCUUCAACUUCUUAGCAAGUUAGACCUAUCUUAUAAUCGUCUCCAAGGAGCAAUCCCAAGAAACGGAGUGUUUGAGCACCCCGCAAACGUUUCACUUGAUGGCAACCAGGGACUUUGUGGACGGGCAACCGGUUUCCAUGUGCCCUCAUGCCCAGAUGCCUCGCCAAGAACAGGAAGACACUAUCGUUUGAUUACAGUGUUGAUCCCAAUAAUUGGCUUCCUGUCGCUGGCACUGUUGACGGAGAAAUUCCCUAGAGUUUCUUACUGGGAUCUAGCUCGAGCGACAGGCAACUUCUCUGAGAUUAACUUGAUUGGCGAAGGAAGUUACAGUUCAGUGUACAAAGGAAAGUUGAAACAAGUUAAAACAGAAAUAGCAGUCAAGAUACUUGACCUUGAGAUUCCAGGCGCUGAAGGAAGUUUUGCAUUAGAAUGCAAAGCACUGAGAGGCAUUCGUCAUAGAAACAUUGUACCUCUCAUAACUGAAUGCUCUGCAAUCGACAAGAAAGGCAAUAAUUUCAGAGCUCUAAUCUAUGCUUUCAUGCCUAAUGGGAACUUGGACACUUGGUUGCAUCAUCAAGGGAAUCAGGCAGCUAGAAAGCAUUUAGGCUUAGCUCAAAGAAUAAGCAUCGCUACUAACAUAGCUGAUGCACUGGACUAUUUGCACCAUGAUAGCAGGAGGCCCAUCAUCCAUUGUGAUUUGAAGCCGAGUAACAUACUCCUAGACAUUCAUAUGAAUGCUUGUCUGGGAGACUUUGGCAUCGCAAGGUUCUACGUUGAUUCUAAACUGAGAACAGUCGGAGAUUCAAGUUCAAUUGCUGCAAACGGCACUCUGGGAUAUAUGGCUCCUGAGUAUGCUGAAAGCGGUCAUGCAUCUACUUGUGGGGACGUAUAUAGUUUUGGAAUAGUAGUCUUGGAGAUGCUGACAGGAAAAAGACCAACAGAUCAUAUGUUCAGGAAUGAACUCACCAUCGUCAAAUUUGUGGAAACGAAUUUUCCUGAUCACACAUUAAAUUUUCUGGAUUCCUGUCUGCGAGAUGAAUGCAAUGAUGCCGUCAACCAAGUAGCAGCAGGACCGGAGAAUCCAACGAUCUUUCAGUCCUUGUUAUCUUUGCUAUGGAUAGCGCUUCUUUGUACAUGCCAAUCCCCAACUGAACGGCUUAAUAUGAGAGAUGUAGCUACCCAAAUGCAUAAAAUCAACAUGGUCAACACGGGAGGGAGAGUUAGGAGCUCAACUUCUUUUAGGAGACUUGUCAGCUGGGCUUCUCAAAGGAGCUAA